rnacentral:rRNA from 1 species
UGAGUACGAGAUGCUACGGCAUCGAAGCAGUCUAUGUCAUACUUCCAAGAAAAGCUUGCACUGUCAGAAACAGAUAAUGCCUGUACCAUAACCGACACAGGUGGGUAGGUAGAGUAUACUAAGGGGCGCGAGAUAACUCUCUCUAAGGAACUCGGCAAAAUGACUCCGUAACUUCGGGAGAAGGAGUGCCUUAUUUUUAAGGUUGCAAUAACAAGAUCCAAGCAACUGUUUACCAAAAACACAGGUCUCCGCUAAGUCGUAAGACGAUGUAUGGGGGCUGACGCCUGCCCAGUGCCAGAAGGUUAAAGAAGUCGGUUAGCAUUCGCGAAGCUGGUAACUGAAGCCCUGGUGAACGGCGGCCGUAACUAUAACGGUCCUAAGGUAGCGAAAUUCCUUGUCGGGUAAGUUCCGACCCGCACGAAAGGCGUAAUGAUUUGGAUACUGUCUCGGAGAGGGGCUCGGUGAAAUAGACUUGUCUGUGAAGAUGCGGACUACCUGCACCUGGACAAAAGACCCUAUGAAGCUUUACUGUAACUUGAAAUUGAAAUUGGACUUUAUUUGCGCAGUAUAGGUGGGAGGCGUUGAAAAUAUUCUUGCGGGAAUAUUGGAGCCAUCAGUGAGAUACCACUCUUGUAAUGUUAGAUUUCUAACUUUAUAUCAUUAUCUGGUUAAAGAACAGUUUCAGGCGGGCAGUUUGACUGGGGCGGUCGCCUCCCAAAUGGUAACGGAGGCGCACAAAGGUUUCCUCUGAACGGGUAGAAAUCGUAUCUAGAGUGUAAAGGCAUAAGGAAGCUUGACUGUGAGACCUACAAGUCGAGCAGGGACGAAAGUCGGUCUUAGUGAUCUGACGGUGCUGAGUGGAAAGGCCGUCACUCAACGGAUAAAAGUUACUCUAGGAUAACAGGCUGAUCUCCCCCAAGAGUUCACAUCGACGGGGAGGUUUGGCACCUCGAUGUCGGCUCAUCGCAUCCUGGGGCGGUAGUACGUCCCAAGGGUUGGGCUGUUCGCCCAUGAAAGCGGUACGCGAGCUGGGUUCAGAACGUCGUGAGACAGUUCGGUCCAUAUCCGGUGUAGGCGUUAGAAUAUUGAGAGGAGCCUUCUUUAGUACGAGAGGACCGAGAAGGACAUACCUCUGGUGUACCAGUUAUCGUGCCAACGGUAAACGCUGGGUAGCUAUGUAUGGAGUGGAUAACCGCUGAAAGCAUCUAAGUGGGAAGCCCACCUCAAGAUAAG